UGGGGGAUAUUGCACAAUGGGGGGAACCCUGAUGCAGCGACGCCGCGUGGGUGAAGGAGUAUUUCGGUAUGUAAAGCCCUAUCGGCAGGGAAGAGGAAGGACGGUACCUGACUAAGAAGCCCCGGCUAACUACGUGCCAGCAGCCGCGGUAAUACGUAGGGGGCAAGCGUUAUCCGGAUUCACUGGGCGUAAAGGGAGCGUAGACGGCCGAGCAAGCCUGGAGUGAAAGCCCGGGGCCCAACCCCGGGACUGCUCUGGGAACUGCGCGGCUAGAGUGCGGGAGGGGCAGGCGGAAUUCCUGGUGUAGCGGUGAAAUGCGUAGAUAUCAGGAGGAACACCGGCGGCGAAGGCGGCCUGCUGGACCGCGACUGACGUUGAGGCUCGAAAGCGUGGGGAGCAAACAGG
rnacentral:rRNA from 1 species